CCCUUCGAUGUUCUGGGCCGCACGCGUGUUACACUGAUAAAUUCAACGAGUCUAGAACCUGUUCUGAGAAGAAUGGGGAAUCUUGUGAAAUUUUAUCGUGAUAGGGAUAGAUGAUUGCAAUUAUUAAUCUUCAACGAGGAAUGCCUAGUAGGCGCAAGUCAUCAGCUCGCGUCGAUUACGUCCCUGCCCUUUGUACACACCGCCCGUCGCUCCUACCGAUUGGGUGUGCUGGUGAAAUGUUCGGAUCGGCCGUUUGUCGCGGUUUCCGCGGCUCGUGGCUGAGAAGUUCAUUAAACCCUCCCACCUAGAGGAAGGAGAAGUCGUAACA
rnacentral:rRNA from 1 species